GCGAAGACGAAAGCGGUCGUGGCGCCGGUUUAGUCGGCGAGCGACAGUGCAGCGGGGUGGAUGGGGGCUGCUCGCCUCGCGUAAAAUUAAGGACCGAGCUUAUACAUGCCGAAAAUGUUUGUUUCUACACAAAUAUGCGAUACGAUCUAAUUUAAAUCAUGGGCGACGUAGAAAAAAAACGAUUUAACUUUUCUCUAUUGAAGUGAUUGUAAUUAGUUUUUGUUCGAGUAUGUCUCUAAGUAAUGAUCGACAAAAAGGGAAAGUUCUACGUGGUGUGGUAUGUGCCGUUCGUAUGUGGCAACCUGUUGCUGAUGCUAGCAAUAGUGAGCAACAGGUUCAACAGUUUAAGCAGGCUCUCAUAAAAGAAACCAUAGAUUUUAUAUUAAUUUUUAAUUAUAGUUUACGCAUUUUUUUGUAUACUUGCACCAAAUAUUGAAGAAAGAAAAGAUAUCAUGUUGUAACAAAAUAAUUUUUAAAUAUUAUAAAUGUGCUUUCAAAUAUCAAAUCACAACUCUAUACAUAUUAAAAUUUGUUUAAUUGUCA